AUUAUUUUGGCAGAAUAGUGCGAUUGAUUUAGAAUCUUUAUAUGUAGUAAUACAAAUAAUA
rnacentral:tRNA from 1 species